rnacentral:rRNA from 3 species
UACGUAGGUGGCAAGCGUUAUCCGGAAUUAUUGGGCGUAAAGGGUGCGUAGGCGGUUUAUUAAGUCUAUGGUGAAAGUGCGGGGCUCAACCCCGUAUGGCCAUAGAAACUGGUAGACUUGAGUGCAGGAGAGGGCAAUGGAAUUCCAUGUGUAGCGGUAAAAUGCGUAGAUAUAUGGAGGAACACCAGUGGCGAAGGCGGUUGCCUGGCCUGUAACUGACGCUGAAGCACGAAAGCGUGGGGAGCAAAUAGG